AGCUUUGGUGGAUGGUCUUUG
rnacentral:miRNA from 1 species